rnacentral:lncRNA from 1 species
AGUGACAGAAGCAAUACAGCUUUUAUGGUGAAAUAAUGGGCAGUUGCAAUUGGCUUGGAGAGAAAUGUGAAGAGACUUGCAGGCUCUCAACAUGUACUGCAGGGAUCACUUUCAAAGAAAUCGCCUUCACACAAGUCUUCAAUCCAGUGUGGUCACUGGACAAGAUCAAAUAUCUUUAGAGAAUUCUGAGGCCAGAUUCCCAGGAAAGCAGACUCUUGAGGUUGCAGAUUUGUGUGCUGAAGCUUUAAUGAGAGAUACUCUUGGGUUAGCACCAUGAAGGGGCUGUGGGAAGCAGAACUGGGUCGAGGAAGAUGUUGAG